CUCAACACUGACGAUUUACUUCAUCUUUUACUUUUACUACUGUAGGAGGCUCCCAGUGCAUGUUCUCAGUUAGCCAACCGAACCUUCUUGCCAACAGGAAAAGAUGAUACAUAUUGUCUAGUCAUAUUUCAAAAGAAAGUUCAAAUUCUGUGAGCUUUGAAUGGGUCACGUUCCUAUUGAGAUGUCCGGUUUGUCUACAAUUGUGCCGUCACCUUCAGGUUCAAAGCCUCUUGUUAUUCGAAAUCCUGAAAAUGAUUCUCCAACCAAAUUUGAGAUUUGGGGUCGAUCUCUAGUCGAAAGGAGUUCACUGUCCAUCUCUCUGUCCAUGGCUCUGUAUAUGUCGACGGAGGAUAACUUAUGUUAGCAAAAUCAACAUCACCGAUUCUUCAGUUCACAAUUACAUGGUGUUAGCUAGCAUUUGAUACUGCAGGUUUGGGGGAAUUUCGUGGAAUAAUGAUGAAUUUCUUUUUUCUUAUGCCACUGAGGAGCCGGUUCUCUCAAAGCCUACAUUUACUAAUUACGGUUACAAGAAAGGGAAUUCUAUGGAUAAGGAGUGUGGCAGCUGCAGAGGUCAAGGGAAUUGGGAAGAGGACUUGGGAGAAACCAAUCCUGGAAAAAGAAUCCAGAUCUUUUUGUAAUCAGUGUUACCAGUGGAGAAGUAUGUCCUGUUGGAGGAAUGACAAAGAUGCUUAGUGUUGGACAAGUUGUGUGAGCUCCAUCCACUGAACGCUUGCAGCAAUAUCUAGUUUUUGUUGGAUGGCCAUAACAUACUAGAAAGUUGGGCAUCAAAUUUUGCUAUAACAGGCCUCGUGCCUUAUAUGCUGUUAGGGCUCCUUUUCCAAAAUCAGAAUUUCAUCAACCUGAGUUUGUAUCUACUAGCUGCUACAGAUGAUAUUGUUGUGGACUAACACAUCCAUUUCUAUAUGAAUAUAGUAGAGGGGCUCGAGUAAUAGUGAUUUCCCAUAUAUCUGAGUCCUUUUUUUCUUUUCCUUUUUUGUGUAGUUUCACUAUUAAUCGACUUACUAUCACUUUCAAAAAUAAUGUAACCGAAGAUGCACUUCCAGUUAAGCUGACACAAAGCAUAAGUAGGGCAUUCUUUCCGCGUUUCAGGUGUGUUGUUUACUCAAACAGUUAUUUAUAAGUCAUUCUGAAAAUGGUGGAAACACUUCCCUAUGAAUUCCAUGAUAUGUUUCCUUUUUUCAUAAACUAUAGAAAAGCAUCUCUAGGAGCAAUAUAAAGUUUUUUCUAUUUCUGACUCUGUCUAAUUUCUGCAGCUUAGUUACCUGAUAUAAUAGAACAGAUGAUCUUUUAACUAAAUUUUGCAGUCCAGAUGGCAAGUAUCUUGUAUUCUGGUCAAAAGUUGUAAUGCAAAAAAUUCACUUCAUAGAAUUGACUGGUGCAUUGAUGCAAAGCUUAGUUCAGAUGCUAAAAUUGUUGAUGUGGUAUGUCUCAUUUUUGUAAUUCUGCUAAUUUAUAGGAAGGUGUGGAGGUCGAGGAUUAGGGUAGUAGGUUAGGUAGUCUAGAUUGUUCAUACCGGUAGUAUUAGUACGUACUCUCGCAUUCGGUUGGUAUGAGGUUUCUAUGACUACCUGUCAUUUCUUGCAUUUCGGUCAUCUUACUAUCUUGUUAUUUAUGCUGCUUUACAUGUCUUCUUAGUGUUGUCCCUUCUUAUUUUUCUUUUCAUUAAUGUGGUGCUUAUACUUUCCGUGUGCCGAGGGUCUAUUGGAAGCAGUCUCGCUAUCUCCAGUCUCCACAAGGUAGGAGUAAGGUCUCUCCCUAGAUUUCACUAUGUGGGAUUAUACUGGGUAUGUUGUUGUUUAUGUUGCUAAUUUACAUAAGCACUUUGAGGCUAGUCACUAAUUAGUGAUUUUUCAUACCCUAUUUUUUAUGUAUUACAUGUCCAUACAACAGUCAGCAAAUAUUAACAUGACGAUUGCAGGUUCCCAUUGUGAUGUGCCCUGAAGAUGGAUGCUUCCCUAGCCUUUACUGUUUCAGUGUUGUUAGUAAACAUUGGCUUUCUGAUGGAUAUACAAUGAUUUUAUCUUCUGCCUGGGGUAGCACUCUAGUAAUAUUUUCAGUGGAUGUGUUAAGGCAGUAUGUAUUUUUCUUCUCAAUCUGAACUGAAGUCUUCGAUUGUGCGUUGUACCAAAGAUUUCUUGUUUUCUUAAUAGCGGCAAAAUGGCACGAAUCAGUCCUCGAAACUCUUGCUUUUCUUGGAACUUGCUUACACUAGAAUCUAGAUGGUGACAACAUAGUUGGUGUUUAGAGUCAACACGUACUUUAAUUUGAACCGGUUCCAUAUUGCAAUAAGAUUUUGUUUCCUGAUUAUCCAAUCUAGAUAAAUCUGGUGUUUUCCCCUCUAAAGUCUCUAGCAGUCCCGUUGAUGGUCCUGAAAUCAAGUACGGUUUCCUUGUUGGAAAGGCAUCUGCUGAGGCAUCCUGGAGUUGGCUUGAUAUUUCAAGCUCCACAUCUAGAUGCUCUGAAAAGGUUCAUCUACUUGUUAGUUCAAUUACUGAUUGUAUCAUCUGUUCUGCUCGGUUUUAUAUCUGUUAAAAUUACAUUUCUGAAAUUUUAACUGUCCAUCUUUGCUACUUACAAGUUGUAUCUUUGCUGUCAUCCCGCCAAUUUAUUAUCAUGAAGAUACCUAUCAGGGAUCUCUCUGAGAACCUCAGUAAAGGUUGGUGUUUUAAGUAUGAGGUGUAUUUUGCUAAAAAGGCCAAACUUCUUACCAUAACCUUAUGCACUCAUGUUUACUGUUCUCUGAUCUAUAUCUGGAACUAAUAGUGAGAUUUGAAUACUAAAGCCAAACACAUGAGGAAAAUCUAAAUCACCUAGUGGAGAGGAAGACCAGUUCUAGUAUAUGACUUGGAAAACUAAAAAUAUUUAAUUUUUCAAGUGUACAUCUAUUCUUAGUAUUUAUAGAGUAACCCAAUCUCUAACUCAUAAAGUUUGAGGAGCUACCAGACUCAAUCCUCUGUUCAAAGAUAUUUUGUCCUAUGUUGAUAAUGUAAACAUGAUAAUGUUAUAAAGAAAGGUAUUGGUUUGAGUCUUAAGCAAGAUUUUUCUGAAUUUUCCUAGUCUGGUAGCUUAAUAUGCUGUAGAUACAUCAGUAGAUCUGCUGUUCAAAGAUAUGUUGUCCUAUGUUGAUAAUGUCAUCCUGAUCACCACAAAUUUUUACGAACAGCGCUGACUUUGUUAGGAAAAUCACAGUGCCUUAGUUUAGUAUGGUCAUCUAUCCUGUUUAUAUACUUGCAGUGAAACAUAAUCUUGUUUGCUGCUUGAAUCUCCUGUAGAGCAGCAUUAAUAAGGAUUCUGGCUUUAAAUAUGGUUUGAGAAGAUCCAGGAGAGAAGAGACAUUAAACAAAUCAUUCCUUGUGCAAACUCCAGUUGGGGAACAUAUGGGGUUCUCUCUGAUCAUGCCCUGGAAAUACACACGAUAGUUUUUUUUUUUUUUUUGUGUGUGCAGAAUAGCACUAUAAUGUAAAUUCCUAUAAGCUACUUAUAUUUAAAAAAAAGAGGUAAAUUAUAAUAAGCUAACCUUAGAUUUGCAUGUAGUAUUAACUAAUGAAAGAGGAAGCAAGCUUAGAGAUGUGACCUUGAUAACCAUGGCACAUUGACUGCCAAGCUUUUCCUGGCAGUGACUCCCUGUUUUAUCUACAAAAUGCCUGGGAUACGAUCAUAUCAUUCUGACAUAUGGAACUUAGUUACUUUCAGUGUUCAGACUCGGACAAAGAGUUCCACAAUGAAAACAAGAGUGAUUCUGAUGAAAGUUAGAACUACACAGCUACAGAGAAAUGAUGUUUCAACAAAAAUUAUCGACGAUGCUGAACGGCUGAACGAUUCCUCAUGGUCUCUGGUUGACUUUUUUAACUCGCUGAAACUUUCACAUGAAUGAAGAGGGGCGUGAGUAUGCCCUUCAAGCUUGAGGAAAGGUGCUAGCAAACCAUACGAGGCUAUAUUUGUAUCCUCCAAGAAUAAGAGCCAUAAUACGCGUGAUCCACUGAUCGUAGUCCUUCAUGGUGGUCCUCACUCUGUUUCUUGUCAAGCUUCUCAAAGUCCUUAGCCUUCCUUGCCUCGCUUGGUAAUAGCUUGUGCUUUGUUGAUUGUAAAUUAUAGGUAACUGCCAUUUUUCACCUCUUUUCUGAUGUUCUGUUGUUCAAUGGAUGAUUUAUGAACUCCACCGUGAGAUACCAGUAAUGCAUGUGGGCUGCUGCUAUGGGUUGCAAGAGCUCUUCAAAGA